CUUGAACGCUAGCGGGAUGCUUUACACAUGCAAGUCGAACGAGUGGCGGACGGGUGAGUAAUAUAUCGGAACGUGCCCAGUAGCGGGGGAUAACUACUCGAAAGAGUGGCUAAUACCGCAUACUAUUUGAGCGGCCGAUAUCGGAUUGUCUAGUUGGGGGGGUAAAGGCUCACCAAGGCAACGACCCGUAGCUGGUUUGAGAGGACGACCAUCGACACUGGGACUUAGACACGGCCCAGACUCCUACGGGAGGCAGCAGUGGGGAAUUUUGGACAAUGGGGGAAACCCUGAUCCAGCCAUCCCGCGUGUAUGAGAAGGCCUUCGGGUUGUAAAGUACUUUUGGCAGAGAAGCGGUAUCUGCAGAAUAAGCACCGGCUAACUACGUGCCAGCAGCCGCGGUAAUUC
rnacentral:rRNA from 1 species